rnacentral:rRNA from 1 species
GACGAACGCUGGCGGCGUGCUUAACACAUGCAAGUCGAACGGAAAGGCCCUGCUUUUGUGGGGUUCUCGAGUGGCGAACGGGUGAGUAACACGUGAGUAACCUGCCCUUGACUUUGGGAUAACUUCAGGAAACUGGGGCGAAUACCGGAUAGGAGCUCCUGCUGCAUGGUGGGGGAUGGAAAGUUUCGGCGGUUGGGGCUGGACUGGCGGCUUAUCAGCUGGUUGGUGGGGUAGGUGCUUACGAAGGCUUUGACGGGUAGCCGGCAUGAGAGCGUGACCGGCGACAAGGGGACUAAGGUAGGGCGCAGUAGGCAACGUGAGGCAGUAGGGGGAAAUAUUGCGCAGCGGGCGGGAGCGUGAUGUAGAGGCGUCGGGUGCGUGAUGCCGGGUUAUGGGUGAAAAACCGCUGUGGAAUGUAACGAAGCCUGCGUGACGGUAAUGGGUCAAGAAGCACCGGCUAACUACGUG